GAGACCGAUCCAAAUCCGAUAUUGUGUGUAUACUAUUCUGUGUUAUUGUUGUGCCCCACGAAAGGCACGAAAACAUGAUAAAGCAUGUGAUGUGGGGAAGAAUCACUCGACAAGUUUUGGUUUCGUGAACAACAAAGGCCCCGGAGGGUGGAUUUAUAUUUACAAACAGUGUGCAGGGUGGCAAGCCGGUGUGGGUAGGCUGGUGCGCAACGGUGCUCUUCAGUGCUCAAUCCAAGCGAAAGUGGGUGUCCAAACGUGCUCCAAAAGUGGUGGGCUGUCGGUCACUCGCUGCUUUCUGGAGAGAAAAUGAGAGCGAGCGUUAGUCCAGCGUUUCAUCGGCUCGAGACCAGUGUCUGUCUUGUCUGCUCAGCAGGUGCUGCUUAAGAGCCGUGUUCUAACGAGAUGCAGCGGUGACCGAUCAGCCGGCGGUGAGGACGUGCAGGUGUGCCUCGUUGGUUGCCAGGGCGACACUGAUUCCUCCUAGGACGCUCGUCACAUUCCCCCACCUAAGCGUCACUCUGGUCCUGUGGACAAACGGUGAAAGUAGGGGUGAAGUUAGGGGAGGGCGGGAAAUGACCUCCGACAGACCUGCAUAAGCUGUCCAGAUUCGUGAGAGGCCAUCCGCAUUCGCGUUGGCGGCCCCGGCCCGAUGGCGCACCUCAAAGUGGAAGUCCUGGAGCGCUAAGAACCAGCGAGUCACCCUGGCGUUGGUGUCCUUGGAGCGGGCCAUCCCUUGUAGGGGCGCAUGGUCGGUUACCAGGGUGAACUUGCGUCCCAGAAGGUAGUACCGCAGCUCCAGGACUGCCCACUUGAUGGCCAGGGCCUCCUUCUCCACGACGGCGUAGUUCUUCUCGGCCGGGGACAGCUUCCUGCUGAUAUAGAUGACCGGAUGCUCCUCGCCUUCCUGGACUUGGGACAGGACUGCUCCCAGUCCUGCAUCGGAGGCAUCCGUCUGCAACAGGAAGGGGCAGCUGAAGUCCGGAGCGCGAAGGACAGGUGCGGACGUGAACGCUGUCUUGAUCUGGCCGAAGGCCUCUUCUGCCGAUGGUGUCCAGCAUACUUUCUCCGGCUGCCCCUUCCUGGUCAGGUCUGUCAGGGGGGCGGCUAAAGAGGAGAAGUUGGACCUCUUCCUCAAUAGCCUGCCGACGAGCUUCCGGGACACGGUAGGGCCGUUGCCUGACGACGACUCCUGGGGUGUCCUAAUGUCGUGCUGUAGCACGUUGGUCUGCCCGGGCUGGGAGGAGAACACAUCCUGGAACUGACUGACCAGGUGCUGCAGCUCCGUCUUCUGGGCCGCCGAGAGAUGGGGGUCGACAUCCACAACCACGGGUUCGGUGAGGCUCAGGGCAGCUACUUGGUCCCGGGUCCCCACCCACUUCUUCAGGAGGUUGAUGUGAUAGAGUUGCUCCGUCUGCCGCCGUCCCGGCUGUCUCAACCGGUAUGUGAUGGGUCCCACUCUCUCCACCACCGAGUAGGGCCCUUUCCAGGAGGCCAGGAACUUGCAGGCGGAGCUGGGGACCAGGACCAUGACGCGGUCUCCGGGUUGGAACUCCCGUGGUUGUGCUGCCCGGUUGUAGUGACGUUGCUGCGCUUGUUGGGCCCUGGUGAGGUGUUCCCGGACUAACGGCAUCACUCGGUCGAUCCGUUCCCUCAUGUGUCGGACAUGUUCGACGAUGGUGCGAUGAGGGGCAGGCUGCUGCUCCCACGCUUCCCGGGCCACGUCCAAGAGCCCCCGUGGUUGACGGCCGAACAGGAGCUCGAAGGGGGUGAAGCCAGUUGAGGCCUGAGGAACUUCGCGGAUCCCAAAGAGCACAUAGGGGAUCAUGAGGUCCUAAUCCCACUUGUCCUCCGCUGCCACGCGUCUAAGCAUUUGCUUGAGGGUUUGGUUAAAUCUCUCCACGAGCCCAUCCGUCUGAGGGUGAUAGACUGUGGUCCUCAACUGCUUUACCCGCAGCAGCCUGCAGAGGUCCGCCAUUAGCCGGGACAUGAAUGGGGUCCCCUGGUCAGUCAGGAUCUCCGAGGGGAGGCCGACUCGGCUGGCCAGCAGAAACAGCUCCUGGGCGAUGGACUUCGCGGUGGCCUUCCGCAGGGGGACUGCUUCUGGGUACCGGGUGGCGUAGUCGACGAUGACCAGGAUGUGCUCAUGCCCCCGGGCAGACUUCAGCAACGGUCCCACUAUGUCCAUUCCAAUCCGCUCGAAGGGCACCUCGAUGAUAGGCAGCGGGAUGAGUGGGCUGGGGGGAGGGGUCCUGGGCGACGUGGCCUGACAGGUCGGGCAGGCUUGGCAGAACCGCUUUACUUCGGCCUCCAGGCCCGGCCAGUGGAAGCGGUCGCGGAUGCGUUGGGUGGUAUUGGCUGCCGCGAGGUGACCUGCCAUGGGGUGGGAAUGUGCCAGCUCCAGGAUGGUCUUGGUCUUGGCUCGAGGCACUACUAGCAACCUUUUCUCCUCCCCCCUUCGCUGUGCGACACAGUACAGCUGGCCGUUCUCUACGACCAAAUGUGGGAGAGGGUGGGGCUGGGGACGGACGUCUUCUCCAUCCACGACUCGCACUUGUGCCCAACAGUGCUUGAGUCGGUCGUCCUCUCGCUGUUCCCUGGCGAACGAGCCCCCUCCAGCAGCCUGUUGGUACACCUCAUAAAACAAGUUAGUAGGCUGGGAGGGGGACUCACCUUCUCUCCCACUGUCGGAGGCGAGCAGCGCCGGACGGCGGCGGGGUGCUCGAGGCCGUCUCCAUCUCCGAUGGUUCCCCUCGGGGCUGGCAGGCUGAGUAGCGGCGGUGAGCAGUCUGUCGAAGCCGGGCCAAUCCCUUCCCAGCAGUACGGCCACCGGUAGGUCCUUCACCAGGCCAACCUCCACCGGCCAGGCGCCUUGGGGGGAUGAAAUGGUGAUUCUCCGGGCCGGUACUUGGCGAGUGUCUCCAUGUACACAGGUAAUCAGGAGGAAGCUUUUCUGGCCGCUUCGAGGGGGGCACAACCGUGACUGGAUGAAGGUGACCGCACUGCCUGAGUCCAGCAGGGCCCGGAAACCUUUCCCUUCCACCGUCACCUCUGCUUCGGGGGCUCCCGAUGGUAUGCGCUGGUGGACGAUGCAGCCUGCCAGCCAUGCUCGUUAUCGUUGACUUGAUUGCAAAUUAUUGCACAGAUACUAUUUAAACUGAACUGAGCUGCAUGAUGACAUGACUGAAUUCAAUGAUGAACUGCCUUUAACUGUCAUUUUGCAUUACUGACACACUGUUUUCCUAAUUAAUGUUGUUCAGUUGCUUUGAUGCAAUCUUUUUUUGUUUAAAGAGCUAUAUAAGUAAAGGUGACUUGACUUUGGUCUGACUCCAUCUGUUUGUUUCACCAGGCCAAAGAUCAGGUAUAACAGGAAAAAGGUAUCCCAUGCAGUUGUAACGUGCAGUUGUAAGCAUGCACAAUUUGAGGUAAGUGAUGUGGCGGGAGGAGCAAACGACAGACACAGUGGGGGUGGCGUCAGGCCUCGGAGAGGCUUUUAUUAACAAAAUAAAACCAAAACAGGGAAAUAAAAGUGUCCAAAAGUGGAGGUGUGUCCAAAAUAAACAGGGAAUAUGGUGUCCUCGUCGUGCUGCAGGUUUCAUGUAGGUAGGGCAGUGUUCAGGAGGGAAGAGUCCAGGUAAGGGGCGGAGUCCGGCGGCCGCACGCGCUCCCCUCUUCGGUCCGGGGUGUGAGGGGCGGUGGCUUCUUCUAGCGGCUGCAUCCUUCUCGCUGGCCGCGGCCCUUGAAGGGGAUAGACGGCCGGCAUUCUGGCCUGAUGGCCGUGUAAACGGGUGCGGUUCUCAUCUGGACCGUGGGUCUGGCAGCUCACGUCUCUGGCAGCACAGGAAUCCCUCUACGCACCCUUCCUGGACCCACGAGGACACCAGUGUGCAUGCACAGGGAAGAGACCGGUCUCCCGAGGAGAGGCGCGUUGGGCUUUUUAAACAUGAGGCUCCAUUUACACCAGGUGUGCCCCAUCACACGCUGCCAGCCCUGGCUCGUCCAGUGCCCGUCCUCUCUCACACACCCACUCCUGUCAGGAGCCUGGUGAAGGGUGGCGAUUUGGGAUGGGGUGCCGAUGAUAAUUGGGGGGAGGCAGCUGACUCGUCACAGUGAUCUUUCCACCUUUCCCUUUCCUUGUCUGCCAGUGUCCUUAACAUUUGUAACAGGGUUCAAUUGAACAGUUGCCUUGGCUUGCCUUUUAUGGCAAUGUUCGAGAGUGGCCAACUGUUGGAGGGUGCAGAAGAGCUCUUUUUCAAACUCAUGGACCUGGUUGUGAUGUAAUUUUGCCAGAUAUCCAAAGCACAGAAUGUUAUCUUUGAAUAAGCGGUCAGCUGCAGUCCAUCCCAACUUUUUGGUCCAUGACCACCGGGAUACAUUCAUAUUCUCUGCUGCUUGGCUCUAGUUGCAAGUAGUCAGUGCAUACCAGCUCCAUGGAUGAGUGUGUGGCUGUUUUAUACACGUUUUGGUCAUAUACUCCUCCAGUUGGAGGUGUUCGAGUGCCACCUUCUUGCACUUGCUCAUAAUCCAAAUUGUUUUCUUUCACUUGUUAUUCAGUAUAGGAUUCCUCCUUCAAGGUGCAGCUUGUUCGUUCAUCACCAUUCUGCUGGUCAGACCUGCCCACAUUUCAUCCAUGAGUGUAACAACC
ensembl:lncRNA